rnacentral:lncRNA from 1 species
CCUGCCUCAGCCUCCCAGCUGCUGGGAUUACAGGUAUGCACCACUGUGCCCAGCUAUAUAUUUGUUUUUAUAAAAACAUUUCAUACAUAUUAGGUUUCUGUUUAUUUCCCAGGAUAUUAAUCUGUAGUGUUCUUUUGUAAAUGUAAAAAAAAAAAAAAAAACAAAACAUUUAUUGGGUUCUAAUCAUGUUACAGUGCUGUCCUAAAUUCUUUAUUUUUUUGUUCUUUUUGCGCAUAACAGUAGAAUGUAUUUUACCUGCAUACGUGGGGUAUAACUUCCCAUUUUUGUGAUUGUAUAUGAUGUGGAGUUACCCUGGUCAUGUAUUCAUAUAUGAACAUAAGAAAGUUAUGUUUGAUUCAUUCUAUCUUUGCUAGUCACAUCCUCCCUCUGUUCCCUUCAUUCUCCUUUAGACAAAGGAGAAUGAACUUCACAAAAUCCAGUGAACUUCCAUUCAGCCUUUGGUUUUUGGGAUUGGCUUAUUUCACUUAUCAUGAUAGUCUCCAGUUUACAAAUGCCAUAAUUUCAUUCUUCUUUAUGGGUGAGUAAUAUUCUAUUGUGUGUAUGUACCACAUUUUCUUUAUUCACAUUCAUCUGUUGACGGGCACCCAGGUUGGUUCCAUAGCUUAACCCAAGUUCUUUAUUUAUGUUAAACCAGACCCUUCGGGGCCAGUGGCAGAGCACUUGUCUUAGAGUGCCUGAGACCUUGGUACCUAGCACCAUUACUAAAUAAAUAAAUAAAUAAAUAAAUAAAUAAAUAAAAAGACCCAUUUUGUAAACAGGUACAGAGUAAUUAUCUUUUUCUAGGUUAUACAGCUUUGAUUAGCAGAGCUAGUAUUUAAAUAUUGGCAGUUAUAAUUACUCUUUGUAUUUUUAUCAUUUAAAUUUGCAAUAAAUUGAUU